GCUUCUUCUGCUGGGAUGCCUGAAGACCUGGAGGAAGCAGGCCCCUCAGGAGUGGAGUUUGACGGUUGGUUGAUGAGUGAAAAACAUAGCAAAUAAAUUUGAGUCCCCUCAUGGUUUAAACACACCAUUGUAGUCUAAUUUAAGAUGGACAGAUCAAGUCAUGCACAUGUAAUGUGUGAACAUUUUUUAUUUGAAUAACAAUGUUGCCUGAUUGCAGAGUUUUGAUUUCAGACAUUUUUGUCACAACUUUAACUAAAGAUAAGCCUGCUCCCUCUCCUGCUUCAGCUCCCUCUCCUGCAGCAGCUCCCUCUCCUGCCCCAGCUCCAUCUCCUGCUUCAGCUCCCUCUCCUGCCCCGUCAACUUCUCCUGCUCCCUCAACUGCGGCAGGUGAUGCCUCGGGCCCCACUGCAGCCAGGCCAAGAGGUAUAGAAAUUAAAUAUUAACCAUAUAUUCAAUGAAAUUGCUCAAGGUCACAUAGAAAUUAUAAAACAAAUAGUAACCGAUUAGUUUUUUUUUAUGACAGGGAGGAAGAGGAGGACGCCUCCCUCCUCACGACUGGAGGAGAUUGAGGAGCUCCUCUGUCAGGCCCUGAGGAGGCAGCAGACUCCCCCUCCACCACCACCACCACCACCACCCACAUCUCGCUAUACCGAGGAGGAGCAUUUCCUCCUAGGCCUGGCUCCUUCCCUCGCGAGGCUGUCACCCCAGGCUAAGGAGCAAGUGAAAUUUCAAAUUUAUAAAUUAAUUUUUGAAGCUCAG